rnacentral:rRNA from 1 species
CCUACGGGGUGCAGCAGUGAGGAAUAUUGGUCAAUGGGCGCGAGCCUGAACCAGCCAAGUCGCGUGAGGGAGGACGGCCCUACGGGUUGUAAACCUCUUUUGCCGGGGAGCAACGGGCGCCACGUGUGGCGUCACUGAGAGUACCCGGAGAAAAAGCAUCGGCUAACUCCGUGCCAGCAGCCGCGGUAAUACGGAGGAUACGAGCGUUCUCCGGAUUUAUUGGGUUGAGAGGGUGCGUAGGCGGAGCGUUAAGACAGUGGUAAAAUUGCGGGGCACAAGCCCUUCCCGCCAUUGAAACUGGCGUUCUGGAGUGGGAGAGAAGUAUGCGGAAUGCGUGGUGUAGCGGUGAAAUGCAUAGAUAUCACGCAGAACCCCGAUUGCGAAGGCAGCAUACCGGCUUCCGACUGACGCUGAAGCACGAAAGCGUGGGGAUCGAACAGGAUUAGAUACCCGAGUAGUC